UACCAUUUAUAAGCUCCGGCUAACUACGUGCCAGCAGCCGCGNUNNUACGUAGGGAGCAAGCGUUGUUCGGAUUUACUGGGCGUAAAGGGCGCGUAGGCGGCGCGGUAAGUCACUUGUGAAAUCUCUGAGCUUAACUCAGAACGGCCAAGUGAUACUGCUGUGCUAGAGUGCGGAAGNGGCAACCGGAAUUCUUGGUGUAGCGGUGAAAUGCGUAGAUAUCAAGAGGAACACCUGAGGCGAAGGCGGGUUGCUGGGCCGACACUGACGCUGAUGCGCGAAAGCCAGGGGAGCAAACG
rnacentral:rRNA from 1 species